GACGAACGCUGGCGGCGUGCCUAAUACAUGCAAGUAGAACGCUGAAGGAGGAGCUUGCUUCUCCGGAUGAGUUGCGAACGGGUGAGUAACGCGUAGGUAACCUGCCUGGUAGCGGGGGAUAACUAUUGGAAACGAUAGCUAAUACCGCAUAACAGUAGAUGUUGCAUGACAUUUGCUUAAAAGGUGCAAUUGCAUCACUACCAGAUGGACCUGCGUUGUAUUAGCUAGUUGGUGAGGUAACGGCUCACCAAGGCGACGAUACAUAGCCGACCUGAGAGGGUGAUCGGCCACACUGGGACUGAGACACGGCCCAGACUCCUACGGGAGGCAGCAGUAGGGAAUCUUCGGCAAUGGACGGAAGUCUGACCGAGCAACGCCGCGGGAGUGAAGAAGGUUUUCGGACCGUAAAGCUCUGUUGUAAGAGAAGAACGAGUGUGAGAGUGGAAAGUUCACACUGUGACGGUAGCUUACCAGAAAGGGACGGCUAACUACGUG
rnacentral:rRNA from 1 species